rnacentral:tRNA from 2 species
UGACCAGAAGCUGAAGUGUUAGAGCGUCUAGCUGUUAAUUAGAAGGUUGUAGAAUUAGAGACCCUACCUGGUCAG